UACGUAGGGACCGAGCGUUGUCCGGAAUCAUUGGGCGUAAAGAGCGUGUAGGCGGCCACUUAAGUCCUGCGUGAAAUCUUGCGGCUCAACCGCAAGCGGUCGUGGGAAACUGGGUGGCUAGAGUGCGGGAGAGGAGAGCGGAAUUCCUGGUGUAGCGGUGAAAUGCGCAGAUAUCAGGAGGAACACCGGUGGCGAAGGCGGGUCUCUGGGCCGGAACUGACGCUGAGGAGCGAAAGCGUGGGGAGCGAACAGG
rnacentral:rRNA from 1 species